CAAACUUUGAAAUCUGAAGUUUUCAUCCAGUCAAAAUAAGGCACACAAAGAGUAACAGCAAUAGACCUUCAUCCUUGAGCACUGAAAAGGAAAUAUAUAUUCCUGGGCAAAUACACCAUCCUACUACAGAGGACCACUUCCAAAAGAUAGACCAAUAUACAGG